rnacentral:rRNA from 1 species
CACUCCUACGGGAGGCAGCAGUGGGGAAUAUUGGACAAUGGGCGCAAGCCUGAUCCAGCCAUGCCGCGUGAGUGAUGAAGGCCCUAGGGUUGUAAAGCUCUUUCACCGGUGAAGAUAAUGACGGUAACCGGAGAAGAAGCCCCGGCUAACUUCGUGCCAGCAGCCGCGGUAAUACGAAGGGGGCUAGCGUUGUUCGGAUUUACUGGGCGUAAAGUGCACGUAGGCGGACUAUUAAGUCAGGGGUGAAAUCCCGGGGCUCAACCCCGGAACUGCCUUUGAUACUGGUAGUCUUGAGUUCGAGAGAGGUGAGUGGAAUUCCGAGUGUAGAGGUGAAAUUCGUAGAUAUUCGGAGGAACACCAGUGGCGAAGGCGGCUCACUGGCUCGAUACUGACGCUGAGGUGCGAAAGCGUGGGGAGCAAACAGGAUUAGAAACCCCAGUAGUCCCAUGAU